AACCCUAACCCCAAUCCAUAGCCGCCACUCUCUCCCUCCUCCUCCUCCCUCCCUCGUCUGCCGCCGCCACUCCCUCCCUCCUCGUCGCCCUGCCUCCGCCCUAGGAGCUUCGCCGCCUCCCAUGCGCUCGUUCUCUCCCUCGUCUCCACUUCUCCGUGCUUCCGCCGCAGCCUCCGCUUCCCUCCUCACUCUCACCGGCUUCAUCUCCUCCACCUCCAUCUCCCUACCUCCGCACCUGGCUAGCACGGUCAGACCAUGCUAAGUGGACAAGAAGGCGCCAUCUCAAGAGGCAGGCCACACCUUCCAUGACGGUGCCCUGAUCUGCCGGAUCUUCCUCCUCAUCAGUCCAAAGCAGAGGAUUGGCGGAUCCGCCUCAUCUUUGGUGUCAUCGACCAGAGAAGGUGUUUUUUUCUUCUAGGCCGAUGGAUGGGGUAGGCGAAGAGGAGUGGCGGAUCUGCGUCCUCUUCGGCAUGCAGUUGUGCUCUCCAUUGUUGUGAGCUCGCCGCCUAUUGAGUUUGCUGUCGUUCUUGCACCGGUGCUGCUGCCGUGGAGGGCUUGGUUUAAUCUUGUCUACGGUGGGAUGGGGAUUCAGAGGAUAAAUUUUAUUGGCAGUAAGAAGUUAAGAGGACAAGCGUGAGACGUCACAUGCCAAGGGAGAUUUUAGUUUUUUCGUGUCUGUGUGUGCAGCUUGUCUACGGUGGGAUGGGGAUUCAGAGGAUAAAUUUUAUUGGCAGUAAGAGGUUAAGAGGUCGAGCGUGAGACGUCACAUGUCAAGGGGAUAUAGUAUUUAGUCUCUUCUAAUCUGUGAAGAGAGACUACUGGUUUAAAGGGAAUCCAUACUUUAACAAGGUUUUUUCCAAUUCAACAAAGAAAGCUAUGGAGCUUUUCGAGGCAGCAGGACAUGAUGCCGCACGGAGAUGGGGAUGGCCAUGCCCGCCCCGAUGCCGCCAGCCGAUGUCGGUGAGAGCAUCACCACCGACAACGGCUCCAACGAGCUCUCCAUGAGCUCCUGGGACGACACCAACUCCAACAUCAUGUUCUUCGCGCCUGGAAGCAAGAAGGCCAAGGUGCUCAUCAAUGGUGACAACGGCAUGGUCACCAACUUCAGCAAAAUCAAAUCCCAAUUUGGCCUGUCGAGCACGUCUUUGGACAUGCCCGGCAUGGACGGCUACUUGCAGCCGCAGCAGGACUUCGCCUGCAUAGUCUUGAGACAAGCGUGUCUGCACCACUCACCCGUGAAGCAUCACUAAGAGGCAAAGAAGAACAAGGAUUAGCAAGAGGCUAAGGAGGCUGCAAGACCUUGUGCCCAACAUGGACAAGCUAUUCUCUGGGAGAAGUCGUGCAAUGCAAUUGCUGGAAACAUGUUAAGUUUCUUCUUGAAGACGCAGCAAACAAAUAGUUCAGACAUGCUGGAUAUUGUUGUAGACUACAUCAAAGGGCUGUAGGACUGAACUGAGUGAUCAGAUCUUGAUGAGAAGCAUGGCUGAAUGCACCUCCAACCACUAGAUUUCUGUGCCAAAAGUUUGAUUGAUGUAAUUCUCAAUGCAUCUAAGGUAUUCAACACUUCCCCAUAACUUCAUAUACUUUAUGAUGCUAAUUUUGAGUUAACAAUUGCUUAAUAUUUCACCAUGCAGAUAUAUGACAUGAACAAUUUUCUAAUAUACAUAAAAAGAUUGUGCAUGUGCUAUUUGUAGUUUUUUGUACCUGGUCUAAUUUUUUAAGGCAUAUUCUUAGGAUUACAUUCUGCUUAUUAGGCAUUGUUAAUUGUUUGAUCAUGAUGUACUCCCUCCAUCCCAUAAUAUAAGAGCGUUUUUGACACUAGUGUAGUGUCAAAAACACUCUUAUAUUUUGGGACGGAGGUAGUAGAACAUAUCAAAACAAUAGGCAAACCACAAAGGGUGAUUUGGUGGAAUAUGUAUCCUGGUUACCACAAGAAAUCACUCAAGCAUGCUCGUGCCUGCAGCCCUCAGUGGCGAGACAAAGGAUUCAGCCAUGGGAAGUUUUCUUGCCAAGUACAUAUUGUUGGAUCUUGUGGCUCCUCUGUUGCACCAUGGAAUCGGCUUGACAAGCAGCGCACGUUGAACAGCGACAAGCAUGGCUAAUGACGCAACCUAACCCUAUUGGUCAGCUCUCCGUGAACACAUAGGUUCCUAUCACAUUUAUCCAGACCAAGAGAGAACUACAUAGAGGUUUGACUGAGCGAGAUGGGGUUGACGGACAAGAAGAGGAACCAGAGGGGUGUGCUCUUGCGGUGCUUGGCUUGUUCCAAGACCAUGAGGGGAAGGACUUGCUGGUGCGUGCUAUGAAUUGUUUUUGGUAUAUCUGUCUUUGAACAGGUUUAUGUGAUUGGCAGGGAUGGAACAAUGAGAGGAUCAGUGGCGAUAUUCGAAGAGUUUAAACGGUGUGGUUUGAGGAUAUCCAUUACAGGGAUCCCAAAAAACUUGGACAACGAAAUCGACAUUAUAGACAAGGCAUUUGGGUUUCAAACCGCAGUGGAGAGUGCUCAGUAGGAAAUCGAUGCGACACAUGUGGGGUUGUGAAUAUUGUGGAUGGCAUUGGUCUUGUCAAACUUAUGGGAAGGAGCACGGGCCAUAUUACUCUUCAUGCCACCCUGAGCAGCCUGAGAUGUUGACUGUUGUUUGAAUCCUGAGAUCGAUUUUCAUGUUGAAGGGAAGGGGCAUGUUGUCGUUGUUGUUGCUCAAGCCGCUGGUCAGGAGUUGAUUCCCCAGAUUGAUGACCAGAAGCGAGAGCAGGAUGAGUAUGGCAACAUGUUGUUCCUUAGUGUUGGCCUUCUUCUAUAAAGUUUACAUACAAUUCACCUGCAUGGUUAAAAAAGCUACUAUACUAAUGUAAAUGUUCCGUUCCGUUGAAUAUUACUCAUUUCUCUUACCGUUGUUGUAUCAAAACAAUUGUGUUUUGGCCUCAUUUUAUAGGAGAUUGAGAUGUGGGACAAGCUA